AUGAAAGGCUCCUGUCUGGAGAACGUGCGUGUGCCCUCCCAGGUGCAGAGAAUUAAUUUGGGCCCGACUGCGGCAGGAGGGCGAGCCGGGAGCGAGGGCUGGGCAGCCCGCGGCGGCUGGUGCAGGGGCGGGCGCGGCCGGGCUGCGGCGGCUCAGCAGCUUCUGCAGGGGGCGCAGGACCCGGCAUCCUCCCUGGAAAGGCGCGCUCAGAACAUCGCCCAGCGCUGCUUUGCUUUGACUCAGGGCAGUGCUUACAUCUCAGGCCGUGGCUGCUGGCUAGGGGCUCGGAGGAGGGCAGCUCCCCCGCCCUGGAGCCUUGGUGGCGAGACUCCUUCUGCCCGAGGCCCGGAGGCGUCCGGGGGCGGAAGCCUCCUUUGAUGAAGGAGCAUUUGGGGAGCAUCUGCUGCUGGGCCC
rnacentral:lncRNA from 1 species